CCAAUUACUGACGCUUUGAGCUCUAGUUUUGGUUCUUUCACUCUAGGCAUCUUUCCUCUUAUUUUCCAAAAUGUUGUGUGAGUUUUUCCUACUUUGGAGCUUCAUUUGUUCCAUGUUUUAUAGAAAGUCUUAUUUUUCUCUUUACUAUUGGAUGGAAUGGGAGGUUCUUGCCAAACAACUUGCAAGUUUAGGUGCUAAGCUUAUCAUUUCUACUCGAAAUGAAGCUGAAUUAGAGAGUCAAGAAAUAGUUUUCUAGUAUGUCCUUCCACUACGAACUCUAAUCCCUUUUGCUCUUAUUUUUCUCUUUAACCCAUUUUCUUGAUAUGUGGCUGGUAUCUAUGCACAAAAUUCAAGUGGUAUAAUUAUAUCAUCACAAAUUUUAUAUUAUGAGAUGGCUACAAUGACUCAUUUUGGAAUAUAAGGUUCAUGCAUAACAUGGGUUACUGCUAGUAUAUACAUAUUGAUAAGUUUUAGUUUAUGUUUCUAAUGAUUCCUUGCAUUUCCAUUGCUUUUUUUGCACCAUAUCCCUUUGGUUUUUGAAAUGCUUUUAAAUUAGUUCAAUUUUUGAAUGAUGAAAGAAAAAGUCUUGCUAUCUACAUGGAGAUGCAUUUUUAGCUGAUGAUGAGCAGUGCUGCAGGGAAGACACCUACACCAGGUCAGGCCGUAUACUCUGCUUCUAAAUUUGCUCUAAUUGGGUACUUUCACACUCUGCGUUCUGAGGUGCAAGCUUGGAUUUGAGGAACAUAUAUCUCUAUGCUAACAAAUUGGAACUCAACCGGUACCUUGUACAGUGGUGAACACCAACAUUGUAGAUUUUGACUUUACUAGCAUUCUAUUUGGAUUGUAAUUUUUUCAUAAAAGAACUUUUUCCAAGUUUUUAGUUGUAAUAACUUUCACAUAUGGCUCCAAUUUUGAGACUCAAAUGGAAUGCUUGAUUAAA